AACGAACGCUGGCGGCAUGCCUAACACAUGCAAGUCGAACGAGACCUUCGGGUCUAGUGGCGCACGGGUGCGUAACGCGUGGGAACCUGCCCUUAGGUUCGGAAUACCUCCCCGAAAGGGGUGCUAAUACCGGAUAAUCUCUUCGGACCAAAGAUUUAUCGCCUUUGGAUGGGCCCGCGUUGGAUUCGCUAGUUGGUAGGGUAAAAGCCUACCAAGGCGACGAUCCAUAGCUGGUCUGAGAGGAUGAUCAGCGACACUGGGACUGGGACACGGCCCAGACUGCUACGGGAGGCAGCAGUGGGGAAUAUUGGACAAGGGGCGAAAGCCUGAUCCAGCAAGGCCGCGUGAGUGAUGAAGGCCUUAGGGUUGUAAAGCUCUUUUACCCGGGAUGAUAAUGACAGUACCGGGAGAAUAAGCUCCGGCUAACUCCGU
rnacentral:rRNA from 1 species